rnacentral:rRNA from 1 species
CGAGUGAAGCGGCAAAAGCUCAAAUUUGAAAUCUAGCACCUUCGGUGUUCGAGUUGUAAUUUGAAGAUGGUAACCUUGGGUUUGGCUCUUGUCUAUGUUCCUUGGAACAGGACGUCAUAGAGGGUGAGAAUCCCGUCUGAUGAGAUGCCCAUUCCUAUGUAAGGUGCUAUCGAAGAGUCGAGUUGUUUGGGAAUGCAGCUCUAAGUGGGUGGUAAAUUCCAUCUAAAGCUAAAUAUUGGCGAGAGACCGAUAGCGAACAAGUACAGUGAUGGAAAGAUGAAAAGAACUUUGAAAAGAGAGUGAAAAAGUACGUGAAAUUGUUGAAAGGGAAGGGCAUUAGAUCAGACUUGGUGUUUUACGAUUAUCUUCUCUUCUUGAGUUGUGCACUCGUAUUUCACUGGGCCAGCAUCGAUUCGGAUGGCAAGAUAAUGGCAGUUGAAUGUGGCUUCACUUCGGUGGAGUGUUAUAGCUUCUGCUGAUAUUGCCUGUCUGGAUCGAGGGCUGCGUCUUUUGACUAGGAUGCUGGCGUAAUGAUCUA